UACGUAGGGGGCAAGCGUUGUCCGGAAUCAUUGGGCGUAAAGCGCGUGUAGGCGGUUCGAUAAGUCUGCUGUGAAAGUCCAGGGCUCAACCCUGGAAAGCCGGUGGAUACUGUCGGACUAGAGUGCGGAAGAGGCGAGUGGAAUUCCCGGUGUAGCGGUGAAAUGCGCAGAUAUCGGGAGGAACACCAAUUGCGAAGGCAGCUCGCUGGGACGUUACUGACGCUGAGACGCGAAAGCGUGGGGAGUAAACAGG
rnacentral:rRNA from 1 species